rnacentral:lncRNA from 1 species
CUGGUAAUUCAUAAACAAUAACCUGCUCUUUUGUGUGGAUAAUAAUAUAUUCAUGUUCUUUCAAUAGGGUAAAAGCCAGACCUAGUGCAUUAUGGUACAGUAAAAAUAGCAGAAGGAGCUUGCUGGAAUAAUCUUGAAGAAGAAAUGUAGCAUUCGGUGACUUAAGCUUUCAGCUCCCAUCUGAAAUUGUACUUUGCUUUUAUUUGCGAGCCGGGCUUUAGUUGUUGAUUUGUUGCUGCUAUACAAUAUUUGGUUAAUUGUGGAAGAUCUCAAGCUGUGCUCAUCACUGCUCCCGCGAAGGCUGCUGCCAGCUGCUAGAAGCAGAGCCUGCUGCUACAGGAUGUACACUAUUCACAGGAGCAGCCUCUCAGCGCUGAUUAUCACUGAAGAGGUCCUCGCUCUCCAUCGCUGCACCCCGCGCGCAGCCGGACUGCCGAGCGCAGGAGGAAGGCUCUCCCCUCUCCUCAGGGUAAGGUUAGAGGCGCGCGGCGGUGGGUGAACUUGGCUGGGAGCAGUGCCCCAGCCCGCGGAGGAUGGAUGGCGUGUGCUCAGCCAUAGAAGCUGAGCGGGGCUCAGGGACGAUGCGAGGGGCAGAGCCAGGGUUGCCCACUCUGUUGCUGGGUGCUCUUGGAAAUGUUGCCUCGUCUGCGUGCUUUUGGGAACUCGCUUUUGGGGUUUGAUCCGGUGCUGGUGCUCGUCUGUGCUUUAUGGUGCACCUUGCUGUCACACUGUGCUUUGCGACUCGAUGCUAGGGGUCUCGGUAUGGCUGCGGGAUGCUUUCAGAUUCCUCCUGUGGGCAAAGGCAAGGGGCUAGCAGAGAACUCCGGGAGCGUGUCCUGUCUGGGGGACUUCUUUCUUUGCCUCAGCUUGUGGGGAGCAGAGGGCAAAGUUUGCUCUGAAUUCCUCAGAUUACCUCCCUGGGUUCUGUAUUGGUGCGUGCUUUCACCUGGUUGAUGGCUUCGGUAGUCUUGAGCUCUGAGUGGUAAUAAAAAUAAAAUUGCAUUCAGACUCAUGCUUGCAGAAAUGCUUGUUUUGGGAUGCGUUUGCAUAAGAGAGCAGGAUUCCUCAGUCUUACCUGCUAUAUGAACUGAAGUGGAGGAUUGCUUCAGGAUUUACCUUAAUUUUGACGAGUGUCCCUGCCUUGGUGACAGGUGUAGCAUUAAAAUCACCCAUCAGAGUGCCUGGGGAGAGAGGCAGCCUGAGAAGUGAUCAGAGUUGUGCCGUACUUGGGGAUUUCAGUGGGAUGGGAAGACUGGAGGACAGACGAUGUCUUGGUGGCAAAUGGGAACAAGCUUUCCCCAGGGCUUCCUUACAGGAAACAUCUAUGUAAUCCAGACUCCUCUCUUUUUAACUCCAAUGAAGAAGGGAUUAAUGUUCAUAAUGUUCACCCUAUAAACUUUUACCAGGGUUCAGAAAAGUUUAAAAGCACAAAACAGAACAUACCCUUGGCAGAUAUAAACAAGAAUGUGAAAUGCAAAGAUUUACAAUGGGUAUUAUUUUCUAAGUAACAUUGAAGUUAAAUCUGUACCAUAUGGAAAGCUGUCUUGAGGUAGCUACAUAGGUUUUUAUUCAUUUUUAACAGUGAAAUUAUAUGCUUAGCAAAGGGAACUUUUAAAGGCACAGUGGUAACUGACAGUCACAGCAAUAUAUGUCAUUAUCCAAUUAGUACACACAAGUGUGUUUUUAUUAUUCACUUAACAUACCUCUGUGUUUGGCUCUCAGAAAUGCUAUGUUUUAUUUCUCAAAGAGUGUUAAUAUUGGCGUGUGUUUUAUUGCUGUAGUUGGAGGUAAUAUUUCUGCACAUUACAUUUGUUAAUGUCUUUGUUUCUGAUUGGAUUAACUCUGUUUAGAAGAAAUUUCUGAAAUGAAAAAAUGUUUUUGUGGGUAAGUGCUAGUUAGACAAAAUGUAGUAUGUACUGAAUUCCAGUUUUCUUCCCAACUGGAAAAUCUGCUCUGUACUGCAUUCAAACUUGAAUUGAGAUAAAUAAUAUUACUUUUGUUUAAAAGAAUGAUAACGCAAUGAAAUUUCUGAGUGCAUUUGAAUGGAAAGUAUUUAGCAUAUAAUAGAGCAUUUUCUGAUACUUGCUAAUAUGAGAACAGAGUCUAUUCAAUUGAAGCAUCCUUUCUAUUUUUUUUGAAGAACAAACUAUCUAGAAGUGUGUUGCUGGCAUUUGUUUCCUUGGGAUACUGGUGAACUGACAGAUGUGGUGAUGAUUUUAGCUUUUUAAUUACAAGCGUAGUGGAGUUGCAGUAUGCAGUGUUGUUGGAGUUCUUUAGGAGCGAACGUUUUGGUUGCAGUUGGACAGUGCAGCUAUCCUAGCACCAAACAGAUCAAAAAGGUGUAACAAGUUUUCCAAAGAAUCCACAUUUUUCACAGAUUUAAAAAUUACUGUCUUGCUUUUCUUGCUGUAUUUAAGUAGGGUUUAGUGAACAUGUUCGAAGUAGGAUAUGUUUCCUAAUGUUUCUUAUGCUGGCUUCACCUUUGUCAUGGAAAUGCAAGCUUUGUUCUGGGACUCAUGCAGAAAGGAGGCUUCGCUUAGGUACUCAGUGCUUUGAUGAAGCUCUGGUAUGUGCAUAAAGCCCAAGGAAAGUUAACUCACUCUUUAAAUUGCAGUAACAUUAAAUAGUUCUCAUUUAAUAGCACCAGAGUGGGACAGUUGUUUUCUGAAGUAUAAUCUUUCCACGAGAGACGUACUGUUGUAUCUCAUGCUUAAAAACUAUUCUGUUAUUUGGGAUUAUUACGAAUAUUUAGCCAUCACUGAAUCAGUCAAUGACCUUCAAACCCAUUUUUCUGUGACUCUAUUACACUAUAAUUCAAGUAUAUUUGAUGUUUACAAAUGUUACCUUUAUGUUCCACUGUAACUUACAAAGGUAGGUAUUUUCAAUUGCAAUUCACAUCUGUAAGUUAACCAAAUAACACUUUUUCAGUCUACAUAGUCAUAAAUUUUAUGGUGCUUAUUCUAACAUGCAAAUUAAAGUUGUCCGCUGUUGACAAAAUUGGUUGAAUGACAUGCUGAACAUUUGCCCUGAAAUAUUAGGUAUCAAUUGAUGCUAGAGAACAAAUUCUUACCGAGUAAGGAUUUCCCUACAAGUGUAAGACAAAACAGGUGAAUUGAAACUAUUUUGCAAUAAAAGUUAAGUUCCAACCAUUGCUGAAAAUAAAGUAAUUAAAAGCUCUCAACUCUCUGGUAAAAAAAAUAAAGAAAUAAUGAUACACUUAAGUUUGAUGUAUUUUACCUGAUAAAUGCAUCUUAACGCUGGAAGAAAAGAUAAUUCUAAUGAUGAGAGGGGAAACAAGGUGAAUUAAGCUUAGUUGAAAUGGGAGAACUUUUAAAUGUAUUUUUACAUCUCUGCUUUUUCUGUACUAAUUUUUCAGCCUUACUUUUCAUGUAGUUUGUGGUCCCCUAAGAUGGGUUUGCAUCUUUUACUUUAGAAAAGGGUAUUCAGUAAGGACAUAUCUGCAUAACAAAACAGUAUUGGAAUUCUGGGACUAGAGUAAAUCUGAUGGCUUUUGACUAUGUAAAAAUAAUAUUUGAGAAGAAAUACAUCCUUGUAAAUAACGAUGAUGAUGUAGGUCACAAAGUGCUACCCACAUCAGGUGGGUAUUUGCAGAGUGCUGCUUCACAUAUCUUCCUAUUGUACUCUUCUGAUUCUUAUGUUUGAUAAACUUUGUAGAUAUUAGUUAAAUGCUGUGCAACUUUAUGCAAACUGCACAGAUAAAGUUCAGAGCAUCACAAAGCUUCAGUACAUUUGUGUCUGUCUCUGCUUCAGUGCUUGAAAUUGAAUAGCUUGUUUAUGGGCAAAUUUUUGUUUUCUGCUAGAAUAUGAGAUUACUAGAUUUCAAUUUUUAUUGCCUUCUCAGCUUUCAAUACUCUCUGCCUUAUCAGUGUACUUGAAUCCAUGUGGAAUAUAUAAAAUGAAGUGCUUCAAAUAUUUUCAUUAAGACAUCCAAGAAGGGCUCUGCAAACAAGGCUCGGCUUCUCAGUUGCUUGAGGAGGUUGCUUGAGAAUUGCCAGCUGUUACAAGCUCACUUUCUCAGUCUGAAAUGUGUCCAGACAAAAGAGCGGAUCCUUCGUGUGUUUGAUGCCUACUUGAUGUAGAUAUUUAAAUACUUGUAUUUUGCUUUGAAAUACGAAUUAUCUACUUUAUGAAGAGAUGCGGUUCUUCAGGUUUUCUCAGUGCCUGUGAUGUCACAAAGGAAGUAUAAUUUUAUAGCAUAACUCAGCUCAUUUUACCAAGAUUUUUUUCUUUAGGACCACUAAAAUUACACGUCUCCUCUGAGGCUCUUAAGACAGAAAUGAAUAAGUAAAACUUUUUUGCUGGUAAUCUAGUUACUUAAGGAGCUUCAGGAGUUGAAAGUAGGGAUUUCAUUUUGGUAUCCUUCCCUUAGAGGUUCAAAAUGGACUGAAAUAGGCAUAGGAAAAUCAGCUAAACAGUGAGAUCGUGUUACAAAUAUAAUAUCCUACCUCUCCAUGGCGUGGCACUUGGUUCUUUUUUUGGUGAUUUCAACAAAGUAGGUUAGAAAUGGAAGCUGGCAUGGCAGCUGCACUGGAGUCCAAAGGAUAGGACAUGCUUCAUGUUAGAAUAUAAAAUUGGAAUGGGACUGAAGGAAAUGGAUACAGCAAUCUUCUGGGGCCCAGGGCAACUCCACUACAUAAAAAAGGGCCUGCUGUGACUAUAAGGAGUUUUAAAAUGAUACUGAAGACCUGUGAAGAAUCAGAAUCACAUUUAAGUAAAUUCUGGAUCAAAUCGUCUCUCAAAAUGUUUACAGCACCAUCUCUGAUGCCACUGGUCAUUUAGAGUACAUGGUGCAAAAUCAAACCCAUAGUUACUGGGUACACUGAGUAGGUACAGCACUGGGGGGAAGCAACAGAAAUUGGCAGUGCUUUGGAAUUUGGAAAAGACUCCCUGACAACAUGAAACAGUUGGAUUUUAAGUAGGCUUACUUGUGUCUUUGUGAUAGACAGAUUUUUUUUUCUUUUUUUUUUCUUCCAUGGAUUUUUUUGCCUUCCAUGUUUUUUUUUUUUUUCCCUGCAAAAUAAUUUCAUCUUCUCUUAAUUUUAGUUUAUCAUGACUAAAAGCACUGGUCUGAUUUCCCUAGAGCAUUCAAUCACUUAAAAAUGUCUGUAACGAAUGUGAAAUCAGAUCUAUGCCAGUGAGAAAGUGAUGGGAAACACUGGGGAAUCAGGUCUUUUCUCUUAGAGUAAAAUGCUAGGUUUCUAAGAAUUGUUCAAAUCACUUUUCCUAUUGUCAAAUGUUAAAGCACCAGAAUUGAAAAACUUUUUUUUGUUUUCCUCCAUAAUAAUGUUUGAUAGCAUUCAGAUAGUCUAUAAAAAUGUAUGUUCCCACCACCACACUGAGGGGAAUGAAAUAGUGGAAUAACUAGAAUGAGAAGUGGUGCAUCCACUACACGGUGUCGUAGCAAAAGGAAAACUUUUAAGGCCUAUCAUUUUUCAAAAUGUUACGGAAAAUUGCCUUCAUGGUCCAGGCUUGAGAGCACAUCUAAAGUAUUAAAUACUCAUCCUCAGACACUUGCAUAACCCUUUCCCGUGUACUGAUUACUCUGAAGCACGACUACAUCUUAUAAUUCUACCAAUCAGCAAGGAUUAUACAGAGUUACAAAAACGUAAUUUCAGUCUCCCUGGGAGAUGGAACAUCCAGCUGCAAGACAUUUAUAAAGUAUGUCAAAAACUUCAUAUCGUAUAGUAGCUAACAAAGCAUAUCUUGUUUUUGAGAACUGCUUUACACUGUCUUUUUGAAGUUGGUCUUAAUCUUUCAUCACGAUCAUAUUUGGCUGGUUGUUUUUUUUUUUUUUUUUUUGCCAUGUUGAUAGCACAUAAAAUGGAUAAUAGACCAUUGACCAGCAAUUCAUUUCAUAAACUGACAUAACUGUAUAGAAAUAAUUGCAAUAAUUUGUUUGUAGGAAGAAUCAAAUUUCCUAAGAAGACCUACUGUGAAGAGCUUUUUAAAAGUAAUUCAAUAUUUUUAACAGAUUUCUAAACCAGAACAAUAUUUUGAAUGAGAGUUUACAGCCUAUUAUACUAAAUAAAGCAUAGCAGCACUUAUAAUCAUCUAAUAGUCUGGGUAGUGGAACAGAAUGAGAAUGUGAGAUAUGAGUUACUUACAGCUAGAUGUGUGUAUCAGAGACUGACAUAGGCCAGAAUCACUGUUAGUCUUGAAGUCUGAGUGCAGAUGUCCUAGAUUGACCGAGUAUGCAAAAAGGUCAAUUUGAUGAAGACUGCAAAACUAGCGAGAAUCUCGCCGUUUAAGGUUAGACUUUGGAAAACAAUUUUUGCGUUAUAUUUUCCUGUUGUUUUUUGUUACAUUUAGCUGAAGAUUCUGCCUUAAUAUCUCAACACCGACUGAAUGCAGAACAGAUCAGUGUUUCUGUGUUGCUAUGUAGAAGGAACACCCAGCUUUGAAAGUGUCCAAAUUUUUAUCCUACUGAAAAACUGUGCUGGAGAGUCAACUAUUUGAAGCCGAUCUACUCCAGAGCAGUGCUAGUACAUAGAAAUCCUGUUUCAUUGUGCAUUUGUAGGGAGACUUGUAUGAGUAGGAGGAAAGGGAGCAUUGAUCCUCUUUCAAUCUGCUUCUCAGCAUGGAACACAUUGCUUAGAAAGAUGAAUUUGGCAGUUAUUUUUAAAGCUAAAAGUAGAGUAUUUAACUUGGUAAGGGAGCUUGCUGUCUGGAACACUGCAUUUGCAUUGUCCCUGUCUUCUGUGACAGCUCUCUGCAAAAGGUAAAAUGUUGCUCAAAGAAGCAAAGGGUCUUUAAGCUGCAUGUGUUGGUGAUUUCAAAGCAGUGGUCUGUCUGAAAAUGGGGGUCUAGUUGCAUGCAAAGAACAUGAAUCAGAAGAUGUACAUGAGGAUGAAAUGCUGCUGAUCAUUUCAUCCCCAAGUCACUAUAGAAAUUGGGAACACUGUAGGCUCUGUGAACUUUUACAAACUUCCUGACAUUUUCUUGUAGCCUUUACACAUGGCUCUGUCAAUGUGCUAUGUGUUUCUAAAGGCUUUUGUUCAAGCAGAGCAUCAUGUUAUUCAUCAGACAAACAGACAAAUAAGGUGUCAUAGUUCAGACAACCAGUGACGCAUUAUCACUAAGCAGUUUGUAACUUCGACCUGACACUGAAAGAGACAAGGAGAUUCCCAAAUACCUCCGAAUAGUGUGUGAAGGACUGUUUGGGCUUUACAACGCAGAAUGGAUGUGCCUACUCUGUCUGUGAAAGAUUAACUGCAUUCAUUUGCUGUCUAACUAAGAGAAAGUGCUAUCUGCUCUACAGUACUGACUGAGGAUGAAAUCCUUGCAUUAGUGGAUUUAUAUCUGAAGAGAGUAUUAGGACUGUUGUUUGAAAGAAUGGAUCUAAUUGUAUCUUUUGUGUUGUAAAAAUAUAUGUGAAUCUGAAGCCUAUGAGCUUUUUUUUUUUUUUUUUUUUUUUUCAGCCUGAGACAGUCACCAGUGACUGUUUUCUGGGUAAUAUUGUCAUAUAGAAAUGCUUUGAGACUAAUUGUUCAUAAGGGAUAGCCAAAGCACAAUCAUAGGUGGUAAUAAUUUAAAGCUGCUCUCAUUCCAGACUGUAUAUGACUUAGAAACCUGAAGAUAGAAAGAUAUUUGUUCAGUUACUAAGGUCUAGAGCCAGUCACAUGCUCUGGUGAUUCUGUUAUCUGUAAACUACACUUCUGUUCUGAAUGGCUGGGGAACAUUACCUUUCCCAUGAUUUUCAUUCUGGGAGAGGGAGAAAUAACUGCCAGCUCUAAACAAUAAUGAUUCUAUAAGUCAAUGAGGUGCUAACAUCCAAGGCUCUAUUGAAGCUGGGUGUCAAAAGCAGCAACAAGGGCUUGCUAGCUAUUUUGGUAGAGGGUCACAUGGGUGCUGACCUUGUGUGGCAGUAACACUGCAUCAUCUUUUGUGUUAAGGUACAGGAGUUUGGCUGGCGGAGCAUGAACUAACAUUCUCUAGAGAGCUGAAGAACACGUGAGUUGCGCCGAACACUACAGAGAGCUCCCCCCCUCAGUAGCACCCUCCCUGUACAGCUGCCUUGUGGUGGAAUAGGGAAACUACUGCUAGUUUAGUUUGUACUGGAUGCAUAAAAAGAAGAAAAUACUGUUGGAGCUUACUUCAGUUUACCACUGAGUAUGAAGAGAGGAAAGAACGUAUUUCUCUUUUCCUGACUACCUCAAUUCUGGGGAUAGGAAUAGCCAACGAGCAUACAGAAAUUUGACAAAAAGGAAGCAAUUGCCUCUCUGAAUCAUGACAAUUUCCUCCUUUUCCCUUACUCUCUUUUCCCGUUGCUGGCGUUACUCUAUUUCUUGGCAAGGAACUUUUGUGAUACUUUCAGCUACACAGAGAUGAGCUUCUUUUGAUGCUCCGGCUUUUUGCUUUUUGAAAAGGAAUAAGACAAAUCUCUGCAUUGCUUUUCUCCCCUUUAAAUCCUUCUAAGUCUUUCUAAGCUCUUAGCCUGUUAAAAAUCUUAUAUCACUCUGAACUCAUGCUGUAUCAUCUCUAAUCUGCUGUGAUUUUGGGCUUUGUAGUCACACUGACAGAUCAUCUUUAGCUUCUUUGAUGCAUUUGUGGGCAUAAGUUUCUUGAGUGCCUUCAGCUGUUCAUUAAUAGCAAGAAGAGAGCUUCUCCAUGGUACUGACUCAUACUGUAACGAAGGAUGGAGCUCAGCAAAAGUUGGUUCCCAAGUUAUAAAGAGUCAUGAAUCUGUGAGGUGUCAGGUUCAGGGUGUUUAUCUUACUGACCUGACACAAAGAUCUUUGUUUCAGAGCAGGUACAAGCUAAGCACACCAAUUUUAGUCCCGUAUUGAUAAGUGAUUAAAUCUGAAGCACAAGUGGGUAUUUCAAGUAAACACAAGGUUUCAGAUGAUGCACCUGCUAGAUCUCCUAGCACACAGGACGUUGAAGUAAGUCCAGAUAAGAAAGAUGCUGUAUCAAAUCAACUUAUACCCCUUUGAAUGAACAAAGCAAUUGAAUGGGUUAUCUGGAGAAAGUUUAACAGAGAAAACUGUGAUGUGAUGCCUAUCAGAACUCAAGCACUUGGGGAAAAAACCCUUAAUCGCUAGUCCCACAGCUCUUUCUUUAGUAUGCUUUUUGCAAAAGAUGUGGCUAAGCAUCAGAAGUAUCUGAAUUUCUGCUAAACUGCUCAGCAGGCAUGCAUUGUGGCCCAUAGAACCCAAUGAGAAAUCUUUUUCCCCCCAUCUGCCUACUUUUACUUCUUAGUAACAGAGUCAUGUUAUUCUUUAAACACUGUGAAGAAUAAAUAUUAGUAGAAUUAAAUAUUAGUAUGUUAGUACUUAGUGUCAAGGUGGUUGUUGCCUUGUGAUAUGUGAAGCAGCUAUGGAUGUUUACUCUGUGACCAAAAUGAAGAAUGUGUCGUGAGCUGAGAAACUAAUUUAAGAUACCUUCCUCUGACAGACAAUAUUAAAUCUCUACAAUUGUUUCUCAGGUGAUAACAUUGCCAUUUGUCUUACCUGAAGUAUGUAAAUUAAGCACUGUAUCUGAAGUAUCACAUUUUUUGGAGAUAUUUCAUUUUACGGAGGUAACUUUUUGCUUCAGAGAGGAGUAAAACCUGUUCAUUUCUCUCAGUGAUUAGUGUGCAUUUGUCAAUAAAUCUGUUUUCUCCAGUGAACCUCAGGGCUUUAUAUAGGCAAAAAUAAAUAGAUAGAUAAAUAAAUAAAUAAAUGAUCUGAUGCAAACAGGCAAACACACGUAUCUCCCUGCUUGUUUGUGACUGAGGCUGAGUGCUCUGGUGACCCUCUAGGUUGACAGGGAAAUGGACUUGGGCAAGUGGCCCCUAUCACAUGUCUUGUAAAUGGAGAUGUGCUACAGCUAACAGUAGACUAUUUCUGAAAUCUCCCUAUGAAGUCAAUAUUAGAUUUAAAAAAAUGAAACUAAACGCCAUGAUCCAACAAUGAUAGAUUAAUAGGUGUUCUAAUUAGUGACAGCCAAUUUAUUAAAAUAAUUAGUAAUUGCAACACAUUACUACAAAAGUACUUCUUGGGGAAGUAUAUGUACCCCACAAUCUGUGGUACCUAUUAAAGAAGAUAUGGUGUUUUGAUGGUGCUGUUUGGUUGUUUCAUGAACAUUUGAAACUGCAACAUGAACAUUUUCUGGAUGUGGAUAUUUGAUGAAUAGCAGUUCUUAACGUUUAGAAAAUGAUUUGUGAAAACCAUCCACUUACAGUCAGUAUUAAUUUUAAAAUGGGAAUGGCUCAGUUGUUUGUCUUAAUUACUUUUUCAUUAGCAAAGAGAAUGAAUUCAUUAGACACAUUUGACUUCAGUUCUGCAAACACUUUCCUGGGUUUUCAGCCCAUGAAGAGUCCUGAUGAGUGAUGACUUCACAUUUUUCAGCAUGAGAACCUGUUUGCAAACCUGAGGACUUAAUACUUGCUCUAGUACCUCAGCUGAAGGUAAUAGAAAGUUCAUUUGCUGACAACUGCUGAAAUGAGGCUUGCUUUCCCAAGCAUUUUUCUUCAAAUCCAGUGUGUUGUAAGAAUUAAAAAGAUGCUUCUGGUUUUCUUGCAGAUACUAGUCACUUUUUUAUAUGAAUUUUUCCCAUCAGUCAUACUUAUCCUUGCCAUUAUAUGCUAGCACAGAAGCUGUUUGAAUGUUGCAGAAAGCAAAGUUCACCUAGAAGCAAAACCAUUGUUUCCAGAUGUGGAGGAUUUUUCAAACCUUAACCCUUCAGUUAAAAUGAGCAUGAGCAUCCCCCCUUGCUGGGGCUCAUGCAUGGGGGAGUUCAGUGCAGAUGGAAUUUUUGAAAAAUACAGCAAGAAAUCCUUCCCAAGACUCUUCAGUAACAAAUGGAAACUGCCACUUUUAAAACCAGGGAAUGCUCUGUAUUCCUGUCAUGGGUCUGAUCUUGAAAAUUAUGACUCAAACUUUAUAGAUUUCAAAUAUUGUGGAUAGUUAGAAUGUAAUAAAAAUCACUAUCAUACAUAUGACUGUUGUUGUUUUGUGGGUUAUGACCCAUAAGUUGUAUGUUACUCGUGUUGUUGAAGUUUUAUAGAGAAAGUUUGAAAGUUGACGAAAACAGAGUUUUGCAUCCAGUACAAACCUUCUGCACAACUCUAUGAAUUCAGGUUUUAGUAGAAUUCAUAUCAAAACUUUGCAAUACCGUUUUCACAGACACUGUACAGUCAGUUGCUGAUGCAUGUGGGAAACAGAGCUCUACAGGCCUUCAUUCACCUCCAACUGCUUAUACUACCUGUUUUUGCCUGUGAUUACAGAACAAGUUUUAGGGCUUAUGAAGGAUCAUUGAGUGGUUUUAGUUAAAGAAAAAAAAAAAAAAGUUUGAAGGUGGUUUAUAGUGAUGAAGAAGGAAAUUUAAUGGAACAUAUCUUGUUGUAAAUCUGUUUCCCUGGUCUUCAUCUCUGUUAAAUAUUACUCCCUUCAACUUUUUGUAUUGUGGGAAGACUGUUGCACCUACUUCCUUACUGAAGUAAGGCUAUUAUUUUAUCUGGUCUGGUCUUCCACAAUGGGUGAAAAGUCCUCUCCAUGACUGAGUUUUCAAGCUUAACUCCUGAGCUAUCUAGGAACCUCACUGAAUGUUUUCCUCUUUGCUCUCUGCUUCCCUGCUGGACUUGCCAGUGAUUGUGUGAUUCAGUCAUGGGGGUUGUUGAUUGUACAAAAUUAGGUUGUAUGGAAAGAGAUAAAAAUAACAAGCCAUCAGCGUUGUUCUGUUUCUGAGGCAUCAAAGACAGAACUAAAGAUGCAGGGCUAUGCUGAAUUCCCAGCAUGCUUUUUACCAGAACUGGGAGCGUGUGGAGAACAUGUUUUUUUCCCGCAUUGAAUUCUACCUGCUUUGAAGCAAUAACUUCCUCGUUGUGCUCUUUGGUUACAUCUGAAUUGAAAGUCUGCUGUUGAGGGUUGCUGAAAGGCAGCUUGGUUACCAAGUCACUCUGCGGGGCCCUCAGGGAAGUGGCAGACAGGUGACACAGUGAGAAGGCCACCACAGUAACUAAGCAAGCAGCUAUGCAAAAAGUCCUCAUGUAAGAGUGUGUUUGAUUAAUCUGUGCGAGCAUGAACUCAAAAAGAUAUAUUCUGGAUAGGCUGGGAGAGUCUAGGAAAAUAGAAAUAAAGUCCAGUCUCAUGGAAUGCUACAGGUGAAAGCGAGAAGAAAGGCACCCUUUGCAUUGUAAAUCAUAAAUAUUUGUGGCUUACUUCCACCCCAUGCACAACUUUACAGUGGAACAAUGAAGUUUGUUGUGAUUGUUUAGAACCUCAGAGGUUGGUGAGAUCCUGUAUCUUUUUAAUUUCUGAUUCCAUCUGUGUGUUCCUGAGAGGAAUUUAUUUAGCAAUGUGAUAAUGGGAUUGUUCCUAGAUAAGAUACCUUAGAUAUCUCUGUUACAGAAAUGCAGUGAUGUGUAUCAGAGGAAAUGCCCAAUACCAUGCUGUGAUCAGCCUCUUCUUGUAUGGUAGAUGAUCCAAGCACUUCAUUGCAUUUUUAGCCCUUUCCUGUUUUUUAUCUGGUAAGUCCAUGUCUUUCUUGAACACCACUGGAUGCAACAGUUCAUGUGAGUUUCAGCAGUGUGAAGUAGGGGGGAAUGAUCCUAUCCCAUUAAACGCUGCCAAUGCUUUCCUGAUGCUGCCCAGGAUGUGACUAUUUUUUUACUUCCGUAAGAAACAGAUAUCCCAAACCACUUGUCCAGUAUCUGCCAGCGGAUAAAAUAUUUUCAUUGCUUUAGUGAAGUAAUGCUUUAAAAGCUCUUGUGCUCUUGGGCUGCUCCAGGUGCAUAUAGUGCUACACAAGACCCUGCAACAAGAAUUUCAGUGGGAAAGUGAUUACCAACGAGCAGUCAUCUUAUGUGGUGAAGGGCAUAUAGAAUGGCAACUGAGGGAUGGUUUAAAAAAAAAAAAAAGCAAUUAGUAGUAAGAAUGAUUAUUAAAGAUAGAUGGAGAUGUUGUAAGAAAAAAAGUAGUGUGCUUGCACUGUUAAGUGCAUUAAAAGUAGAAAGCUAGGUAUCUUUCUACGUUGAUACACACUAAGGCAUGAAUGUAGGACAUGCCAAGACGUAGUAGCUACAUCUUCUGCUUUUGAGUCUUUCUGCUCAGACUCCCAUGUGUGGCAGAGAAGUCAGUGAUUUUGAUUUCUGCUUUGCUGUGCUGAUUGUAUUCUGGUGGAACUUUCAGUAAAUCAAAUCACAUUGUAACAUAAUGCAUAGUUGGGCCUCUGCACACCCCACUACGCUUAGUGCUGCCAUCUGUGUAGGACUGAGGGGCUAUAAUGAGUCUACCUUACUUUCCAAAAUUAAAUAUAAGCACUCAUAAAUAUUUGUAAAGUUAUCUUCAACAGAAGAACACUAAAGCCAGUUUUUGAUUCACCAGAACAUAUACAGCAGUCCAGCUGCAAUAACAAGGCCCAAAGUCUCAAUGAAAAUGAUCUCCAGACAAAUGUAUACCAGGAUCAUUCUACUGUGAAACUGUAAAACAAAACCAGCAUUUAUAUGCAAAACAGGUCUUGACUCUUGACAGUGUUUUGCCACUUCUACUGCAAGACUGGCGCAUGCUGCUAAUAUAGUCUACAAUCAUAUGAUGAAGAACAGUAUUUUGAAAGCAGUUUUGUAGUGCUUUGAACUCUGAAAGCAUAUAGGAAAAAAGCCCAACUCUUUUAAAAAGAGAGGCAGUACUCUCCUGCUGAUGACAUGGUUAGAAUGUGUUUGAAUUAAUAAUUUCAUUCUUUGCAAACAUUACAGGCUUUUCAUUUAGAGAUCUUGAAGUCUCUGAAAGGUUUUGUGUUUUAUGAAAAUAAAAUACACACAGCAGCCAUAUGCACAUGACAAUAUCAAGGUGAUACUGAGGAAUGACUUGCUUAUACUUCUUGGUGUUUGUAAAAUAUUGAAGUCUGAGGUUGCUGGAGAGUGCCAUUUCCACAAAGCAAAUCAAAGCACAGGUAACUGCAGGUAACCUGUAACGGAGAAUGCCCACUUGGAGAAGAACAGACACGGGGCAAGCAGGUGGUUUGGACUGAAGUUUAGUAAUCCUGAUCGAGUUUUCACCAAUCUUUAGAAAGGCCACUUCUGGUUUGGAGAUCAGUUUGGAAUGUUGCUAUAGUGAUAAGCAACUGAGAAGAUAUAGAUCCUACUCCCCAUGAAAAGUGAACGACACUUAAAAGAAAAACAUGACCAUAUAGGAGGAUUAAAUGAGGGUGAUUAAAUGAGUGGAGGGCUGUAAGAAUGAAUUUGUCAAAGACAGGGAGAGAUUUUGUGUAUUGUCAGAAAAAAAAUCCCUACGAAUUUAGGCCAUCUAGGAAGAAGGUACUUCAGGAAGGAGCAAGCAGAUAGUACAGACAUUGGUAUUACUGACAGGGAAAGGUGAGGAUCGGAGGUGCGUUGGUGUACUCCAUGCGGCGGUAGGCCUUAGAAGUGAGGACAUGUGAGUGAGGUGAUGGAAGAGAGGGAGUUGGAGCAGCACAUGGUGGCAGUCAGAAUGGUGAUUGUGGAGGAUGGACUAGGAGUGUGAGCAAGUUUAAAGGGGUCUUCAAAACCAGGAGCAGGUAAGGGGUAAUUCCCGAAACCAGGACAAGAACUAAUAUCAACAGGAAGGAGUCUUGCUGGUGCAAAUAGUUGCCAAGUACAGAGCUUUAGGAAUGCAAUGAAAGCAGGUCCAACUUUAAAAACAAAGGACAGUACUAGUGUGCACACAGCAGCAGAAGACAACAGCAGAAUCCAGGCAAAUUCACUGAAGACUGGCAGGGUGGGAUGGACACUCAGUUGCACUCCUCUAAUUAUUGCUCCAGUAUGUUGGUAAUGGGAAAGAGAUGCAGAGGUGCUCAGCAGCACUUAAAAUCAGGAGGCAUUAAGAUAGCAGAAUGGCAUUUAUGUCAAAAAAUAAAUGCAUUAAAACUGUGAAACACUGAUGUUGCGUGGUGUCAGGGCUGUAUCAGUUCAUCAUAGAAACAGGUGAGAAACCUCAGAGCACCACAAUGAUACAGCGAAGGAUUACGCCCACAUGAAAAAAGUAACGGCAUGAAUGGUGAAGUAGGCUCAUUGACUUCAGUGACACUGCUUUUUCUUCAAGUUACGUAGGGACGUAAGUGCCUUGCUGAAAGCACAGCCCAAGGGUAGGGAUUUGAACUUGUGUUUUCUUGGCUUUCUGCCUGAGGAAAAUUUGUUCUGCCACACCGACCCUGAAGUACAACUUCUGUUUAUAUUAUUUGCCGAGCUCUGUGGGGAAAUGAAAGCUGGUAAGGCGUAAUUUUAUUUGUGUGCUUUUGAAAUGUUAUGUUAUUAUGUAUUUCUUGUUGCACCAUAGCAAAGCUCAGAUUUCCAUAUUAAAAUUAAUAAAAUGAAAUUAAUGUGAAUAUUCCUGCUGAAUACACACUGACUAUAAAACGUUCUCAUAUUAUUCCACAAGCAUAUUUAUGACAGCCUAUUUUACUGUGUUUUGAGAAGAAUGCAGAUCCAAUUGAACUUUAAUCAUUCCAUUUUCUUACCCAAUUAUGACAGAAUUCACACAUAAUCCACAUUUGAAUACCACUUUUAAACUAAGCAGUAAUAGAAUAAGUUCCAUUUCAAUGAUAUAUAAGUAUUUUUUUGACUGUUGCCAGCUUGUAAUAACACGCUUAUGGAAGCAGUGGUACUUACUGGAGUGAAAAAUAUUUGUUAAAGUAGAGGUUAUGUUUGUAACUAACAUUCAUUUGUUUUAUUGUGGAUGCUGGGCAGAGAACAUCGCAGCUUCUAUCUGCAUUCAAGUAAGUAGAUAAAAUUCAAUCAGAUAUGCUUGCAUUAUGUGGACCUAUUAAUUUAGCAAGGACUGAAUACUUUGCAAUAAGCAAUAUCAGUGCUUUGUAGGAAUCGGUGAACGUGCAUUGAGUGUUCAGAAGAGUGGUGAGUUUGUAAGCUAUGGUAUUAUAUAGUCACAAGUUAAUUCUGAAGAAUGUAGAAAUUAUGUAUGGUCAAAAUAUUUAGAGAGAAGAGCAUAAUCCAAACAAAGCUGGCUGCUUUACACUCCUGGAGCAGUAGGUGAGAGAGUCCACUCGCCUUUCAGUGCCCAGUUACAAGAGAGGAGACCAGCAGGAGGAACAUGAGCAUCUGUGUGGCACAUGGGCGGCACCUCCCCUACAUCAAAGCCUUUGUAGAGUCUUUCCUCUUUCCACAUCUACCACUGAUACGUGGACAGAGUUGCCAGAAAGGAGAGCAUUUCACAUGGGGAGACAUAGGAUGGUUCAAAUUUUUCUAUGGUUCUCUGCUUGCAGCUGUGUGCCUCUCGUGCCCCUCUCCCCCCACCCCAAGUAACUGUUUUGCAGGAUGAUGGAGCAACGCAGCAAGCCCGUGGAUAGAAGGCAUUUCUGAAGAGGUCAUAUCAGUAAUUAUCCCCCCCACGUCCUGUUGAAACUUCUGCCUGUGGGAUGGUGAAAUAGGCAUGGUGUUUUGCAAAAGUAUUCUCCUUUGUCACUCUGGCCCAGCAACUGCCUGUGGAAUUUAUGAUUCUAGAAGCAUUAUGACAAACAAAUCAUUGUUUCAGUAAAUUUAAUUUCAGGGUGCCAGGAGACUCUCAUUUACAACAAUGUCUGGUUUUGUCUGAUAGCUCUUGCUACCAGAGGUGAAAAACAGUGAGCAUCAAUGGGAACGAUUUGAAUAUUUUAUUAAAUGAUACAGCAGUCUCCACAGAAAGCUGUUAUCACUGAAAUUCACAGUACGGUCAAUGUGAUGGUAUAUGAUUAUGUUUCCUAUCCAGGCUAUUGUGAAUACUCUGACUGAAAAAAUGCAGUUAGGAGAUGUUAUUUCUCCUCUGGUUCCAUGAAUCCAGAAAACAUGAGACGAACAAAAGAAUUGUUCGUUCUCUAUGUCAUCAAAUAAAAUUACUUUGCUUUUCUUCAAUUUGUCUGUUGUCUUCAACAUGAACUUUUGUGUCAGAUGGAUAGCUGCUGCUAUUGGAAAUAGAUCUUCCAAAAUAAUUUCUGAACAGGAAACUAGAAUUCAGAGUAUGUUUCUUUAAAUAGAACACCAUUAUACUUCAAGAGCAGUAGGUAAAUAUUGUUUAUAAUACUAAGAAACCAUACUGCGGUACUAUAAUCACAGAAUCAGAAUGGCUUGGUGUAUGGCAAACAGGUAUUGGACCAGAGAGAUUAUCAUAUUACAAAGGAGAAAUGAAAUAAAGAUCUUACCCAUGUCCUUGGGAGUCAGCCCUUAAAUGGGGUCUAGGAGGGGUGCAGCCUGGCUCCACCCCUUCCGGUCACUCAGGUGAAAUUGCGUUCACCGGUGCCCCUGCAACUGACUCAGCGCUCACCUCAGGUGGUCAAUCAGAGGUUCAGGCCGUGAUUCAACAGUUCCCAUACACUUGGGUUGGAAGGGACCUCAAGGAUCAUGAAGCUCCAACCCCCCCCCCCCACCACAGGCAGGGCCACCACCAACCUCCAUAUUUAAUACAUAGACCAGGCUGCCCAGUGCCCCAUCCAACCUGGCCUUGAACAUCCCCAGGGACGGGGCAUCCGCAAUAAUAAUAUACUACCGUUUCAUGGUUUUCAGAGUUUUAGUCGUAGAACAAACACUUCUCUGAUGAAGAUACUUCUGCAUCUUGUCUGCAAGCCCUCCAAAAGUAUGAGAACAAGUGCACUUCUAGAAUCCAUCCUCUGCAUACAACUAGUGAUCAGAACAAUUGUGCCUCUGUAGUCUUUCACUAUUUAGUUGAUUAUGCUUUGUGGUAAAGGAUACUUUUGGAAGUGAAAUCUUUGCAUGUCUUUUCCCCUUUUGAAUCUAAAAUAAACUUCAAUUUUAACUAUAUGAAAUCAAGGAGGACUCAGUUAUUGUUCAGAAUAAUUAAAUAACAUUUUAAAAAAUUCUGUUUUAAUCAUUUCUAAAUGAAGUGAUUUAAUGUUAAUUGAGAAGACAGCACCAGAGAAUAUAAUUUAACUACUCAGCUAUGCCAAGUUGUAUAUUUCUCAUGUCAUUUUGGUUUAUGGCAGUGAGGAAAGCAUGUGGGAGAUCAUGCCAAGACAGUGAAACCUUAAGUUGAAACUCUAGUUGUUUAUCUAACUGCCUGCCUAUGAAAUACUAUGGCUUUCCAGCAUAACAGUGAAUACUUCACUACUAGUUUAUGACAAAGAGAAAACUAUUCAUCCUAAAAGAAAUUGCCAGAAGUUACUUCAUCUGCCUCAGAGUCAAAGUUAAACUUUCAGUGGACUGUGAGUAAAAUACAUAUAUAUGACUGCUUUCUUAUCCUUAUGACGAGAAUAAAAUUCUGUUUUCACUUGGAUACAAAGCAUACAUUUUGAUAUUGCAGUAAUAAUAAAUAUAUGGAGCCCAACCAAGGACAUUGAUGCCACUGUCACUUCCUGUGAAGAUUGUUCUGGGUGUUGAUGCUCUUUUUCUUUUAUUUUCUGUAUUCAGAAAAUGAGGCAGGGUGAGUUUCCUUUUGCUACCUGUUCUAUGGGAGAGAGGAAAUUAGUUCAAGUCCACUGUACUCCCUAUUCUAUAGUUAGUGGAAAGGAAAACACAUUAAGAGCACUGACACACUGAGGUAAAGCAGAACCAGAAUUGUUCCCUUGCUGCCCUGCAGAGCUCCCAAAUGCAGCAUCAGUCAGUAUGAGGAGCUAUACAAGGCCAUAACAAUACCACAAGCAUUUUGUGCUGCAGGUUUGGUGAGAGCUUUUUGUUCCUCUUCCUUUGGCUUUUGGGUCCCACUGGAACAAGAGUGAAGUCAGUGAUUUUUCAACUUCAAUAGCUACCUCUGUGUUAACGACCCAGAAUGUCUUACAACUGCUGAAGGGAAAAAGGGGGCAAUUCAAGAAAGCGGUGUGCAUCACCCAUUAGUUUUGGGAUGAAAGGAAUCAUUUUCUAGAAAUUCCUGCCUUUCUUCAUCUACUAUAAAAGGGAGCUGAGGGGAUUACCUGAAAAGUGUCAGCCUUCUACUGGCCUGAAUAAGGGCAUGGUGAUUCCUUGUAGUAGCACUUUUCUCCAAAUUGAUUAAGAUGAUCAACUAUCUCAAGAAUACAGAAUCAUCCUUCAUGAUGCCUUUGAUCUGGCCAGUUUGGAGCAUGCCUGUGCCUGUGCCCUUCCUUGGCCCUGCCUCUCUGUGAGAGCUGUGCACCUUUCCCAGCACUGCUGGAGCAUGUCUCAGCACCAAAUUCAUUCACAGGCCUUUCUCAUGUUCGAGUGGGACUCCGUUCCCUGUCUUGCCACACAGUGCCCUUGCCAGCUGGCUGCAAAAUGGUGCUGGUUCUCAUGCUCCUCUUCUCUAGGCUUAUGUCUCAUUAAUGCCCUCAUGCACAUGGAACAGCUUCCGCAAGGAAGGGUGAUGAUGCUGCUGGUACCCAGCUGCUUAUUCAUCAUUACUGUGGCACCUUCAGGAGGCCAGGGUGAGUGACAGGCAAGUGUCCACCUCGGGGUUGAUUGCUUGGACCAGAAUGCUUUUGUACAAAAAGAGUGGAGGGCUGGGACAACACUUCCUCCUGUUCCCAGCUUUCCCAUGGAGGCUCACAGUCCAUGAGCGUCUCCUUGCUUAGAUCUCUAACAUGGGAGACUUUUUUUUCUGCACAUAGAGUUAGGAACUUGUGAAAUGUAGUGGUUGAGAAAUGAGCCAACUCUGGAGGUUGGGUGUUCCUGAAGUAAGGAAGGAAUGGCUUUAAGCACUCAGGCAUCUUGACAGAUGGACUAGAUGAUCUCAGUGGUCUUUUCCAGCCUUAGUGAUUCUAUAAUUCUUUUUGCACAUGCUUGGGGACUGAGUGCUUUUCUUCUUUUGCAAAUACAGUGGGAUUACUUAAUUUACAAAGGUGGUAUGAAAUAGAUGUUAAAACCACUGAGAGAGCUUCUCCAUGUUCAAAUCUUUGCAAUUGAAAUCUCUGACUGAAGAGUCUUCUAGUCACUGAAAAGGCUAGUGGGCAUGGAUGAAAUGAGGCAAGUGUGCAGAAAUAUUCUACCUGCAAGUAUGCAAGUUUAAAAUGCUGUGCACUACUUUCUACAGAGUUUUUUAGUGGUGAUUAACGUGUUAAUCACGUGUUUGGCUGUUCAAGAUCCACAAGAACCACGGAAAUCUUUCAUACAAUCAUCAAAUCAUUGAAUCAUUAAGGCAGGCACAGAAUACUAAGAUCAUCUAGUUUGAUCACCAACUCAUCACUGCCAUGCUCACUAAACCACAUCCCUCAAAUCACAUUUGAUUAAUUAAUGGCCUCAAGUUGCACCAGAGGAGGUUUAGGUUGGAUAUCAGGAAAAAGUUCUUUUCAGAAAGGGUGGUUAAGCACUGGAAUAGGCUCCCCAGGGAGGUGGUUGAGUGACCAUCCCUGGAUGUGUUUAAAAACUGUUUGGAUGUGGUGCUCAGGGACAUGAUUUAGCGGAGGGUUGUUAGUUAGGGUAGUAUGGUUAGGUUGUGGUUGGACUCGAUGAUCUUUAAGGUCUUUUCCAACCUGAGCAAUUCUAUGAUUCUAUGAUUCUGUGUACCUUUGUGAGUAUCUCUGAAUGAUGGAGUGUUAAAUCUUUCCCAUCAGUGUAAAGUGUUACAGAUGUAGCAUUAAGUAAUCAGAAUGUAGUGAAUUUUAAUCAGUAUUGCGUCCUGUGAAUGAUCCGAAACAGAUCAUAAAAUGUAAUUAUACACUAUGAUUAUUUCAUCAUUAAGCAAAAUGUGCCUGAGUGUUACCUGAAGAGGAACAACCUGAAUCACCUCUCACAUUUUUACAAUUCUAAAGUGACUUUAUAAGAAAAGUCUCAACGAAGUUGUAAAGAUAGAAUUGCAAGUCAUGAGGUGUAUAAAGUUUGGUGAUGCUCCUUUCUCCUUUUCCCCACAGACUGCAUUUUGAGAAAAAGUCCAGGAUGCCUGGUUCUGCUCCAAUUUCUACAUUUUGGUCCCUAUAGUGUGUUACAUUUCUGUGUUCUCCAGGUGUUCAUUUUCUUUAUUUCCGUAUUAAAGUUACACCAAGUAGAAUUAAUUUAAAUAGAGUAUGCAGAGAGGCAUGCACAAAUCUUGCUAAGGACUUUUCCCUUUAGAGCUUGUAUAUCACUCAGUCAUUCCUCACUGUUUACAACAAUACACUGUAUGAAUUUUCAGUUUUGCUCAAAAUAGAAAAAUAAAUGUUUUAAUUACACUUUACUGGAAAAGCUUUUAGAUUAGUGCUUUUUUUUUUCCUUUAUACAGCCAGUUAAAGCCAUGUGCUGUGCUACGUGUAAAAUAUGCCUGUUUUAAAAUGUGUGCUUCUUUAUAGUAUGCUGCCCAGAUACAAGUCAUCGUUUUCAACAACUCCUGAGUCUUAGCCUUGACACUUUUAUUCCAAUCUCCACUACAUACCAUAAAUGCUUAUUUUAUCUCACAGAUCAAAUAAAAAGAGAUACAAAAAAUAUGAUUUUUCUUUUAAGAGCCUCAUUCUUUGCUAUUUUUCUUGAAGAGAGAGAAGGAGUUGGCAGUAGCAGUUUGUCAAAAUUCUUAUCCUCUCCCUCUCUGGGAUUUUUGGGGGGGAUGAUUUUUUUUAGUCUUUCAUUGAAAUGAUAUUUCCUGACUCAUACAGAAAAAAAAAAAAAGAAAUGUUAGCAUGCAUUAAAAUAAACUGAAAAAAAAAAGAAAAAAAAAGAAAAGAAAACAGUACAAUUAAGCAGCUGGAAGAUCUUGAAAGUAUGAAACUAUAGACUGAGAUUUUUUGACCUUAGCUAAUAACUUUAGUAUCUUGUUUCCAGAUAGCACAUUAUCUUCCUUUCUUCCCUGAGAACCCACAUAUUUCAAGAUUGCUCUGCAAAACACGGGUUUUAUAUAUGGUUUCAAUCUCUCCUUAAUUUUUUGCAGAUUCUCUAAAGAGAACUUCUACUGACUUUGCCUAAAAGCCAGAUCCCCAGAAAAGGAGAUGCUCAUUUAAACUGUUUCUGUAGCAUGCCAUAACAUCCCUCCACUUCCAUGACUGUGCCCUAUAGGACAGAGCUAGUUACAUUUUUCUAUGAAAUGAAAAACACAACUUCUUGUCUUGGUAUACACGGUGUGACUUUAAUUUCAUAGAAUCAUAGAAUUACUAAGGUUGGAAAAGACCCACAGGAUCAUCCAGUCCAAUCAUUCAUGGUUCUCGCUAAACCGUGUCCUCCAACACAACAUCCAAAUGCUCUUUGAACACCACCAGGCUCGGUGACUCCACCACCUCUCUGAGCAGCCCAUUCCAGUGCCUGACCACCCCUUCAGAGAAGUAGUAUUUUCUAAUGUCCAGCCUGAACCUUCCCUGGUGCAGCUUGAAGCCAUUUAUUGAUUUAUAUUUUUUACAGCACAGUAUGCUACUUCCAGAGUUAAACUAUAUAGAGCUUCCUGAAUGCAAAAGAAACUGACAUGUGAUAGACAUCUUUGACAUGGGCCCAUGUGCAGUUUAUGUUAUUGACAGUAUUUACACAAGUCAACUUCACCACUUUACAUUAGAAAGAACUGGAGACUAAAGUGCUGAAGUAGUUAGCAGUGUUAAUAUGAAUGGUUGAUAGAAGAAAUGAGGAGGAACAUUAGUGGUCAGCAUAAGUCUUUGAACAAGUAACAUUAUCUGUAGACUCCCAGCUUUCACUGUUCCUGGGAACAAGGUUGUUGCUAAGCAAUCACAUAAUUGGAUGAGCAGAUUCAGAGAUUGUUAGCUUUGCUUCAAGUGGAGAAUUCACAAUUCAAGCUCUGUGACUGCUACCAGGAAAGGAUAAGCAGAUGAAUGAAUCCAGCACUGCACCACCCAGUGCAGUAUCUGGUAAAAAUCUGAAGUGCCUGUUGAAUGUGUGAGUUUCCCAGGUGACACAUCCUUUACAGGUAAUGACAGUAUGCUCCACAAAUGUCUGACUAUGGUCAGCUGUUACAAGGUGUGAUAUGGAGCUGGUCUUUGUUGGACCACAUCAGCCAGUGUUCCUCUAAGGUUACCUAUUAUAUGUCAUGUGUUAGUUCACUCUCAGUUUUGUCUAGUUGAUGCUGACUCCUCUAAAGAUCAGAUCUUCCAAAGGGAAGAAUGUAUGAGUAGAUGAUUCAUAUGUUCAUAUAACUGUGUAAGUACCACAGCCUGUGGAAUGGUCCUUACAAAAGACCCUAUGAACUUGCACGUCACCAAAGCAGUCUAUGUGGUUACUGUGCACCAAUGAUAUGUAAUACACAUAACAUUUGGAAAUAUGAAAGUAGAUAUAGCCAGAAAAAUUGAACUUCUGAAGGAUGGUCUGACUCAGUAAUGUGAAUUAAGGCACAACAUGAGGAAAUGUAUUUCAUACCAGUAAAGCAAAUGAAUAGUCCUGGUUUUCUCAUGAUUACAGUGUAGCGGAAGAAAAACUAAAUUCUUGGUAAUGAAAAGACAAAUUCAAAGAAUAAAAACAAGUUUACUUGAAGAAAUUUUAGAGUAUACCAAUGCUAAAAAAAAAUGGAGUCUGUGAGAAAGAACAGAUUCUCUAGCAGGGACUGUUGUGAUAGGACAUGGGGAAAUGGUUUCAAACUAGAAAGGGGGAGAUUUAGAUUGGAUAUGAGGAAGAAUUUUUUUACAAUAAGGGCGGUGAGGCACUGGAAUAUGUUGCCCAGAUAAGUGGUGGAUGCCCCAUCCUUGGUGACAUUGUAUGUCAGGCUGAAUGGGGCUCUGAGCAACCUGAUCUAGCUGUAGGCGUCCCUGUUCAUUGCAGGGGAGUUGGACUAAAUGGCAUUUAAAGGUCCCUUCCAACUCAAACGAUUCUGACUCUAUGAUAAAAUGAGUAGAAUCUGAGACCUAAGUGGGGCAGUUAGAAUACUGUGGCGAAGUCAGGAUUUCUGGAAGGCACUGACUAAAACUUAGUGGCUAUACACAAAAAAAUUAAAACACUGUGGCCGUGAUGGGCCAAGACAGAGUGAAAAAAAUAUGAAAAUUUGUUGAAAAACUCAGACAGUGAGAACUCUGAGUUCCAUUACACAGAAAGGAACACACAGUCCAGGCUGAGUCUCAUUUUAAAAGAGAGUAUAAAGGGAGAAAGCAUAGGCAAGUGAAGAUAACAUCAGAAAUACCAAAGGAACAAAAUGAGAUAUAACUAGCAAGAGACAUCAGAAAUAUACCUAGCAACAGAGAGACACCAGGAAAAGAAUUAGUCUACUGCACGGUAGAAAAAGAAAGCUAUUGAUCGACAGUGCAGAAGUGUCAAAAGUGUUAUAUAGCAUUUUUGCUUAUCUUUACUGAAAGUGUCAGCUCUGAUCACACAGAACCAAACAGUGUGAACCCGGUUCACUCUGUUUACACUCCGUCCGGUUACACUCAGCAUGUUGUUGCAGGCACAAGAGAGACAUUUUGUGCCACUCAUGAAAAUCUAAAUGAUGUAAUAAUGAAAUUCUGUGCUGCAGAAAGGUAACUUUUAGCAUUCAAUGUGCAUAGCAAGGUGCUUAAAGGAACUUGCUCUUUAUUUAUCAACAUCUUAAGAAAGACUUUAGAAAGUUGAUGGAGUGUCCUUUAGUUUCCUCAUGUUAAGAUGAUUUCUUAUCUGUGCAUUGGAAAGAAUGAGUAUUUCAAAGAAGUAUUUGUAUGUGCUAUAUAAUUACCAGACAGCCUAUUUUGUAGCUAGCUGGACUACAUACUCUUUUAGUGUUGACAAUUUUGUAUCUAUUUGAUAUGCAAAACAGUGUACUAAGUCCACGCACUCAGGGGUGUCUGUGUUCAUAGAAUCAUAGAAUCAUUACGGUUGGAAAAGACCUUCAAGAUCAUCCAGUUCAAUCAUCCACCUAACAUCAAUAUUGCUCGUCAAACUAUGUUUCUUAGUACCACAUCUACACUUGAACACUUUCCAAGACAGUGACUCAGCGACAUCCCUGGGCAGUACAUUCCAGUGCCUGACUACUCUUUCAGAGAAGUUUUUCCUAAUAUCCAACCUGAGACUUUCUUGGCACUACUUGAGGCCAUUCCCUUUUGUCCUAUUGCUGGUUACCUGGGAGAAGAGGCUGACCCCCACCUCCCCACAACCUCCUUUCAGGUGGUUGCAUAGGGUGAUACGGUCUCCACUGAGAAUCCUCUUCUCCAGACUAAACAAUCUCAGUUCCCUCAGCCACUCUGUGAGAACCCUUCUUUGUCUUCUGUCUCAAAGCUUGCUUCCUGAGGUAUUUCUUGUGAUAAGACUCUUAACUGAUUUAUGGAGGUGGCAAAUGAUGGGUGCUACUGUGUGACAAUCAACAUCACUUUGACAUUUGAAAGCACCUUCCUCCAGAGCUGCUUGCCUCCGGAAGAGAGUGCUCAGGAGUGGUUACUGGCGGAAGAUCUGGCCUAAUAGCCCCAGCUUGGUGUGGGAAAACUGGGGAACGACACCAUCGUGCCCUGUGAAAAACAGGAUGCAGAUGGGCAUCCCGGCUCCCUCUUAUCUGCUGGCAAGGCCCAGAAGAUGAUAACAAAGGAAUUUCUGCUGAGAUCCCAGAGCCAGUAGCUGCCACUCCAAGGAGAGCUGACUCAACCACUUUGGACUUACAAAUAAGUUUGUACUGCCAUCAUCGUCAUUGCUGUGGUCACCAUCGUGAACAGAACACCUGACAACCCACCACUACUGAAGAUCAAUGACUGAACUACGAACCAUGUUGGACCAUGGUGGUGACAAUCUCCCUCCUGCUUCCUAUACAGACUCCUUGCUUCUAUUUCCUAUCUUUUCUGUUGCCCUUCUCCCCUUCCCCAUCUCCCUGAACGACUAGGAUUUGUAAUAAACUGGUCAGACCAACAUUUGAACCCAUGUUUCUUAAUCUCAUGCUGGAUAUACACACAUCAAAGAACCUCAUCUCCCUCCGAUAAAUUGGAACGAGACACACUCCUCAUAAGACUUGUGCUCCAGACCCCUCACCAGCUUCACUGCCCUUCUCUGGACACUCUCCAAGGCCUCAAUGUCUUUCUUGUAAUGAGGGGCCCAGAACUGAACAUAGUACUCAAGCUGCAUCCUCACUAGUGCUAAGUACAGAGGGAUAAUCACUUCCCUGCUUCUGCUGACUACACUAUUUCUGAUGUAAUCUAGGAUGCCAUUGGACCUCCUGGCUACCUGGACAUACUGCUGGCUCAUGUUUAGCUGAGCAUUGACCGACACCCCAAGUCUAUUUCUUCCACACAGUCUUCCUGCCACGCUGCCCCGAGCUUGUAUUGUUGCCUGAGGUUGCUGUGGCCAAACUGCAGGACCUGGCACUUGGUCUUGUCAAAAUUCACCCCAUCAGCCUCAGUCCAUCAAUCCAGACUGUCCAGUUUCCUCUGUAGGGCCUUCAUACCCCCAGGCAGAUCAACUUCCCACCAGGUUUGUGUCGUCUUCAAAUUUACCAAGGGUACACUCAAUCUCUUCAUCCAAAUCAUCAGUAAAGAUAUUAAACAGGACAGGCUCCAGUACUGACCCCUGGGGAACACCAUUCAUGAAUGGUCGCGAACUGGAUUUAACUUUGUUCACCAGCUUUCUGGGCCCAGUCCUCCAGCCAGUUCUUUAAUCAAAGAAUGUACCUGUCCAAGCCAUGGGCUGCCAGCUUCUCCAGUAGAAUACUGUGGGAGACAGUGUCAUAGGCUAGGUAGACUACAUCAACAGCCUUUCCCUCAUCCACUAGGCAGGUCACUCAAUCAUAGAAGGAUAUGAGGUCAAUCAAGCCUGAUUCCCUGCUUGUCCCACACAUACCAUGUGAUCUUACUCAAGAUAAUCUGUACCAUAACGUUUCCUGGCACUGAGAUCAGACUGACAGGCCCAGGAACCAUCGUAGAACAGGAAAAAAUCUCUACAGCAAUUUAAUUCCACCAGCUUCCCCAGUCAAUUCACACAAUUAGUUCCGAAGACUUGGGCUGAAAUUUACAUAAAACACAUCCUUCCCUCUAAUCCAUUUUGCAAGUGGUAGAUUAUUUCUCAUGCUGUGCUGCCAAAGGUGAGGAGCAAAAAUAGAGAAUGUGCUCAGGCUGCAGCGAGUGCUGAGAAAGGCUUUGAGAGCAGAGAACUCACCCUUUACCUCACUACUCUCAGUAGAUCUACAUGCUGGUACAAUAGGAAUGAGAGAUGAGCCGAUCACUGCUACUGGUUUGGACAUACAAUGUAUUGGACAUGGCUGGUGGAAUUUUUAUUUAUUUAUUUUAAAGCAGAUUGCCACGCUGCUCAUAGCCUGGGUUCUUGCUGCUUUCUAACACUGUAGAAUAUUAAAGUCUACCCUGUAUUUGCUACCUGGUUGAGAGAAGUGAUUGUCCUGCUCUACACUGUGCUGGUGCAGCCACACUUCUAGUACUGUGUGCAAUUUUGGCCACCACAGUACAAAAAAUGAUAAAAUACUAUUAGAGAGUGUCCAAAGGUGCGCUACAAAGAUGCUGAAGGGUCUGGAGGGGAAGAUAUAUGAGGAGUGGCUGACAUCUCUUGGUGUGCUCAGAGCAGAGCAGAGAAGCUGAGGGGAGGCCUGACGGUGGCUGCAGCUCCUCACAGGGAGCAGAGGGGCAGCGCUGCUCUCUGCUCUGUGUGACAGCGAGAGGGCCGGAGGGAACGGCAUGGAGCUGUCAGGGGAGGAGCAGCUGGGGGUUAGGGAAAGGGGCUGCACCAGAGGGCGGUGGGCAUAGAACGGGCUGCCCAGGGCAGUGGGCACAGUCCCGAGUGCUGGAGUUCAAGGGGCAUUUGGACACUGCCCUCAGACAUACGCUUUGAUUUCUGCGUGGUGUUAUGUGGAGCCAGGAGUUGGGCUCGAUGAUCUUUAUGGGUACUUUUCAAUUUGGGAUAUUCUGAGAUUCUAUGAUACCUAGGGAUCCCAAAUCCGGGCUCUACUCAGAUAGUUCUUUCAUAUGUGAGCCAAAGACAUGGGACAGCAAUUGCUGGAACCGGAGUGUGAACAGCAGCUGUUUUGACUCACUGCAUCAUAGAUAAAAGUAUUUACUUCAUUUCAUACUAGAGUAAGAAAUGUCCCUGUGCAACAGACUAAAUUGUCUCUGGGUUUCAAAGUGUUUAUGAAAGUGAGUGAUAUGGCGAGAAGAAAUAGUUAGGAUGAAAGUUCUCUUACGUGUGUCUUUAAUGAACAAAUUUGCUUUCGUUUUGAACGAUUAUACUGAUUGUUUAUGUUUGUUGUUUCUGUACAUACAAAAUAUUUCUCUCAGUAGGUGGUGAGUAAUUGAGUUGUAGCUGUAAGUGUUGUUAUAAUUGCACUUUUAUUUCCAUUUUCCUCUUCUAUCUCAGUAAACAGUUUUUAUCUCAACCUAUGAGAUUUAUUUUCUUUCCAAUUCUCUCCCUCAUCCCACCUGAGGACAGUGAGCAAGGGACUCUGUGGUGCUGAGCUUCUGCCAGGUUAACCCACACUGGAGUGACUGCAAAAUAAGGACCAGUAUUACAGUGUGGAUGGAAAGGGCAUUCCACAUUAGACAAAGGAGCUGAGAGUCUUGGGCUCACCUUUCUGUUCAUCCCCAGCAACCAGUGUGAACUUAUUAUGUUGUUCUAAUGUCGGGUUGCCUGCAGAUAAGAGAGCUAAAUCUCCCAGAUUUCAGUUUGAUAUUAAAAAGCUGACCUUAUUUCUUUUGAUGUAGUUCUGCAAAAGUGAAGACAGUUUGUUUCCAUUCAUGGGCAUGUGGAUGGUGCUGCUUUUCCAACUUAAACAACGGAGAUAAGUUAAAUUGGUGCUUUCAGACAUACUUAGCUAAAACCUAAUUACCUUUCUGUUCAACUACGCAUACUCCCUAGAAAUGCUUUGGUGUGACUCAUUAUAUUUUAGGAACUCUUGAGUAUGUUUCUAGAGAAAUAUGACAUGCAGUUGUGGGAAGUUCUGACUCACCUUCUGUUUUCCCGCAUCAUCUAGUGUAAUACGAAGGAAUUUGGUGCCCUGUGCCAUGCACAUGCUUGGUUAAUUGUUGGCCUAUGCUUGAUUCUCUGAUACUUACAGGUGAGGUAUGUUUUGAUAAUCCAGUGUGGGCAUUCACAGAAUGACAUGAACAAAUGCAAUAAUUAUAUACUUCUAUUGAGUUGACAGUUUUAUAAUUUUGUACUUACAGAAACAUUAAGUGAUCCAAAGUAAUGCGAAUUGCAUUUGAGACAAAUUUGACUGUUUCUUAUUCAUUUAACUAGUACAACAUUUUAAAAACAAGGAAACAGUGUAUGGUAACAGUCUUAUGUACAGAUGCACAACAACUUAAAACACCUAAGUUGAAAAAAAAAAGAAAAAUGGAUUAGUUAUAAACCAGUUGAACUUCUUUCCUGACCAUAUUUAAAAGUUGAAUAUUGAAUAAGUAAUGGAGUGGGGAGCAAAUACAUUGAUACCAUGCUUCUGGAAACUUUGAGUAAGUGAAAAAGAAAGAUUUUUAAAAGCUUUUAGACAAAAAAUUGAAAGUGAUGGAGAAUGUCUUCUUUUUUAACCAUGAUUUCCACACCACACUUUUUCUUAUAUAUAUUUUUAUUUAAAUUUACGAAAUAAAUGAACAAAAAUAUCCAUCUACAUUACUGUCUGUAAGGAAACUGUUAGGUCAUGGCUUGAACUGGUGGCUGAACACCUGGUGAAGGGGUGUUGCUGGCCUAGGGAGCACAGGCAGAUUGUUUGCAGCUGUGAUCCCCACAUGACCAGAUGGGGUGGACCCAAGCUCGAGCUGUCCUAGGCUCAUAUAAGGGCUAGCCACUGAAUGGAGAAUAUCUCUUAGACCUUGGCUGUCUUCUGGAAAGUAGUGCUAUGCAGUCAGAGAGUCCCUUCACUGUUGGGUGAGUUCCAUUCUUCUUUCUGUAUACAACUCUUGGCCUAUCCAUGAACACUUUGCUUGGUAUCACCAAGGUCUUGUCGGAAGCAAUUCUGCUUCUUUGUAAGCAAAAACUCUGUCCAAAGCAGCUUUUUCACACAGGUCCUACUUUCUGUAACAGUAGUAGGACUCUCAGUCCAUGUCAGGAGUAACAUCUGUUUUGUUGAACUAUUUGGGCAGUUCAGUUCCUCUAGAAUUUUAAGAGGUAGUCUUUGUCAGGGAGAAAGAGAAAACAAGUAACUAAAUAAGGAAAUUUAAAGCUUGUAGUCUGGAUUUGAUAGUAAGAGCAGCAUCUAUUUUUUUUUUUUUCUGAACUUCAUCAUAUGAUUUGAGUUUUCUUGGUAUCUCUGUGUUGUGAUGACAGUAGGAGAAAAAAAUCUUGAAUUUGCAGUAGCACCAGAACUAUGUAAGCAAAGCAACUCUCAGUUUAAGUCAGUGACUUUUUUUUGGGGGGGGGGGAGGAAGAGGAGGAGCAACAUUGAAGGCAGGCAGAAGAUGCUUUCAAUAAGGAAAUCUUCAAUUGAAAACUUAAAGAACUGUGCUGAAGAAUCCUGUACUCUUCUUACCAGGAUUGUAGUUUAAGGACACGUUGCUUUCAUUUUUUUUCCCUGUAGGCAGAGUUCCCAAUUAAGAGAUAAAAUCUAUGAUGUAUCAUAUUACUUUUUCAUGGGAGAGUAAUAAAUCAUGAAAGGCCCUCUGUCAUAUACUAUGGAGGAUGGGGUUAGCAGAAUGAGACUAAAACUACACAGCUACUUUCACUAGACAGUGACUAAUCUACAAACAUUAAUAUUUCUGUGUUCUGCAAAAUAUGGAUGGAUAAAUACAUCAGUAAUAUUAUAACUGAAGCUUGGGGCUUAAAUACACUUAAGUAAUUAGAUUCUAAGAUAUAAGGACUAUGCAGGAAAAAUGAAGUCUAGUGAGGGAAAAAGUCAGGAAAGAAGCUUUUGCAAAAGAUUUACUAAGUUGUUCUUCUAUUGUCUGUUUUUACUAAUGGUGUUACUUGCAAACUGAACAUUUGGUUUGCUGUGUUUUUCAAAGGAAUGUUAUAAGGGAAGAAGGAAGAUUGAACUGGCAAGACUUUUUUAGCAGUGUUUUGACAGAAGCAAUAGGAGUUAAAUCUUGCAGAAGAGUUUUCUAUCUGGUGUGUAACCACUUGGCUGGGCAGAUUGCUUUUCCUGAAUGCCUUAGAGGUAAUGUGUAUUUGACUCAGUUUUGAGUCUUCAGUUCUAUUUUUGUGGGCAUGCCAUACUCUUUUUAUUUAUGAAAAAGCUCUAGAAAUCUGACCAUCAGAUUAGCAGUACUGUUCGUGCUCCUAAUUAAUUUGGGUAUGCUUCUCUGUUCUUGGUGCUCUCUUAGCUGCUGCCUUAUCUCUUAUUUAUUAUCUCUUAUUUAACUUCAUUCUCCAGAGUGAGCACAACUCGCAUAUUAAAUAGCGAUGGCUGAGUAAAAUGUACUGGUUAUGUUGUGACAAGUUUUACAAAUGUUUGUCAAACACAGUAGCUAGUCGAAUACUGUUUGGAAUACCUAUCUCUUAAUAGCUACAGAUGACUUAGCAAGGAAGUAAUAAGUUCGAAAUGCUUUUACCCUUAAUGCUCAUUCAACAGUACUUUUAUCGUUUGAUAAUCAUAGAAUGGCUUGGGAUGGAAGGGACCUAAAGGAUCAUGAAGCUCCAACCCCUGCUGCAGGCAGGGCCACCAAUCUCCACAUUUAAUGCUAGACCAGGCUGCUCAGGGCCCCAUCCAAUCUGGCCUUGAACACCUCCAGGGACAGCAUCCACAGCCUCUCUGAGCAGCCUGUGCCCUCACCACUAUCACUGACAAGAACAUAAAGAAAAUCUAAUAUUUAGAAAAUCUAAUAUUGUUUUUAAGAUUUCAGUACCUAGAUUUCUAAGUUUCCCACUCCUGUUUAGGUGGGACAAGAACUCACUCUCCUAAAAUGGUUAUUCCAAUAUAUGCAGUCUGAAGAGACUCCGGAAACCUUCCAUUUUCUAGAGGAACAAAUAGUGACUAUUAUUAACUGUUUGCCCUACUUGUUAACUCUUAGCAACUAAAGUUCUUUAAAAAUAUGCUAGUACACUGGCACUCUGAUCUGGUCUGUACAGUACUGCAUGAUCAAACAGCAGGUGUGUCCCUUCUACAGCAAGUUUAGUGAUUUCUUCUCAUACCUAUGUAGUCAGAUUGGGGGAAGUUAACACGAUUCCAGUUGGUAUGCUUUCACCUCAAGUGCUCCAUUGCAGUGUGCUGUAUAAAUACAGAUUCUGGACUUGUGAAGAGUAUGAAGAAACAGAUAUUGAAAUUUUCUUCAAAAUGAAGAAAGUAGUAGCUAAGCAUUAGAUUGAAAUACAGAAGAUUUUCUUUACCAAUUAAAUUAUUAAUCAGUAGAUUUUUGCUGUUCAAGGGAGUGUGUGGUUGCAUUCUUGAGUCUUAAUUACAAUACAGAUUACAACUAACUGUAAAGAAAAUUGCCUAUACUUCCUAACUAUCACAACUCACAGAACUUAGGUUCAUUUGAAACAAGGUGACUCUGCAAUUGAAGUAGGUUCUUAACUGUGGGGGCCAAGAGAUUGGAGUAUCAAGUAGCUGAAACUGUCUUAUAGGGGUCAGUGUUGUUUAAGUGAUAGCCUGAAUAACUGAUAUACUUGUCUGGUAAACUCAAGCCUAUUCACUUUGGACACUAUUUUUAUUAUAACUUCUUAUAUAUUGCAAUCAUAGUACUAGCAUUGUAAUACUGUACAGGAGACUCGCAGAUAGAACUUCUAUCUGUCUUCCUGCUUGGUGUAAGCUGAUAUUUUUCCUUGGAAUUCAUUAGGUUUCUUUUUACUGUACAAGAAAGUAGAUAAACUAGUCAUUCUUUGUCCCAGAGACUGAAGGCAACUUGCAUUAUCAUAAAGGUCAUAAGCAAGCUCAUCUAACUUUAGACUCCUCAGAGAAGUGCCCACGUGAAGACAGGGGUCACCCUAAGCGGUCUCUGUAGUUUAAAAAAAGAAAAAGAAAAAAGGAGGAAAAAAAAAAAAAGGACUCCUCAGAGUGAGACUUAUUCUCUCAGUUAAGUAGGCGGUUGUGUUUCCCCAGACAGGCAAUCUCCUAGGUGCUUACAGUGAAAUAAUGAGAGUGAAAUAAGAUCCACCUCAGUGGACUCUUACACCUAUAUGGAGUCUGAUUUUUUUUUUCCUGUUUCAUUCUUAAUAAGUAGCAUGGUAAUAAACAUGUUAG